GCCUUUAGCAGAUGAGUGUAUGUGAGGGAGCAUUUCAGGAAGUGUGCUCAGAGCUUCCGUGCCCCUUCAGAAGUCUUCAGGUCUCCUGCACCCUGCUUCUGCUCCUUCCUGUUCCAUGGCGUCUGCUUAAUCUGUUUAACAGGCAACUGGAUUACAACCAGAUCAGCUGCAUUGAAGAUGGGGCGUUCAGAGCUCUACGAGAUCUGGAAGUGCUCACUCUGAACAAUAACAAUAUUACUAGACUUUCAGUGGCAAGUUUCAACCAUAUGCCUAAACUUAGGACAUUUCGACUCCACUCGAACAACUUGUACUGCGACUGCCACCUAGCCUGGCUCUCAGACUGGCUUCGCCAAAGGCCACGGGUGGGCUUGUACACUCAGUGUAUGGG
rnacentral:lncRNA from 1 species